UCUUUGGGUUGUUCUUCUCUACCACGCCGUCCCGGUCUGCGUCCACAUCCAGGGAGAUCUCUGGGGACAAGAGACAGAGUAGUCCUGCCCCAGCUGUGAGGACUGAGGAAUUUCCUCUCGGUGGGAAACAGGAUCUCCAACCCCUCUGGAUUUGAGUUGCUUCCAAUACAGGGCUGCGUCCUUGCCUCAGCUGGGGCGCCGGAAGUGGGAGACAGCGUUGGGAUUUCUGAGAAGCCCUUAGCACACGG